AGAGAGUUGAAAGGAUAUGGCUUUUUAGCAAGGAGAAAACUGAAUGGGGCUUCAAACAGAUAUUCCUGAAGAAAGGUAGCUGGACAAGACUUUAGAAGGAAAGAGAAUACAGCUGUGAGAACUCCCCUCUUCACCUUGGCUGAGGAACUCUCCAAGAGAGCAGAUGGUUCUGAGUUUCAAGCCAUGAAUCACUGUCAGGGGAUCUCCUCAAGCUGCCACAAGCAAGAAGAAUUGACAAUUCUCAAUGGGUAAUAUUUUUAUUACUAUUGGUGUCAGUCAUGUCCAUGCCCUUGCUGCUGGGAUCAGGCUUAAUAUUAAUAAGGCUGUAACUUGGAAACAACAUAGCAAGAGUCAGCAAAGUAUUUCUAUUUAUUAUCUAAUGGAUGUUUCAGGACCUUAGCAUUCCUCUCUUUAGAGUUCGUCAGUGAAGAGAGUAAGAGAUCAUUUCUUUAUUUUUAUCUGAUUUCAAAGCAGACUGACGGGAAAAUAUUUGCUAUGUUUUGGUGCCUCAAUUAGCUAAUUUUUGAAAGCCAUUGUUACUAAUAUUAUUGGUUGGUUGUAACGUGUGAUCUAAAUCUGUUACUUUCUUAUAUGUAGUUAGAUAAGUGAGAGUUUGAUUUUGACCUGGAUUAUAAUAUUUUUCAUUCUAAUGCUGUGGUUUUUAUAGGCAUAAAUGCUAUUUGGAGGAACCGUGCUGAACUAAUUUGACUCUAUUAGGAAAUCUUGGAUAAGUGGAUUCUUCAUCUAAGGUAGAACUAAAUCAAAUUGGCUCUCUCUGUUAAAACUCUAAUAUACUUUUUUGGUAUUGAUUAGACUAUAUUUCAGUUACAUUAGGUACUUUAGCUAAAGUCACUUUGGGUAGCUUUAGCUGGAAUUUUACCUGGAAUAUCUUGGCUACUUUUUGUAGAAUAUAAUGAUUAGAAUAUGCUUCAGUGAUCAUUUUUUAACAUUUUCAAUUGCAAAAUAUCUUGGGCCAUUAGGUUUCAAAACCAGAAAUCUAGUAGAGCACAAAAGUGGUCUGAUGCAAAGGGUUUUUCAUAUUGUGGAAAAGUUAAUAUGAGAUGGAUUCCAAGUAUCUGCAGUGAAAGAGAGAAGGGCUGUUUCAGAAAGCACACUCACUUUUCACUUCUGCAGAAUUUAGUCUGGGAAGCAGCUUCAUGAUGAGUUCUUUGGAGAGCAUUACUUUUUCUGACAUGAAAGGUGGCAUGGUCAAGUGCAGAAAGCUGGGGAUUUGAGUUGGCCAGAUCUUUAAGCCAUGCGACCAGUUAUGAAUGUCUUUGAAGCACUUUCCUUAACUAUAAAGGGGAGAGAAUACUAUGUACAUCAGUAGUGUGCAGUUUUAUUGUGAGGAAGAAAACCAGGAAACUGGAGUCCUUGGAUUCUAUGUGGCAUGUGGUGGGCACUCAAUAAUAGUAGCUAUCGUUGGUGUUUCCUCAUUGUAGUGAUGGCUAACUCAACCUUUGUCAUUUAAAUACCUAUAUAAUGUGCUAAAGAGAAAAAAGUGCAAAGUUAAGCAUAUGAAAGGUGAAAUCAAAGCAGAAAAAUAUCAGCAUUGGAUGAAGUAUUUAGAAAACAGGUUUCUUGACCUGGCUCUAUCACUAUUGAAUAUCAUUACCCAUAGAAGCCUCACUAAUCCUUUCUGUACCUCAGUGUAAUGUGUACAGUGAGGAAACAGAAUUAGAUUAGUUAUCAGUACUGUGCUCUGAAAACACUGAUAUUGAAAAUUAUUCCUCAAAUGAAAGUUCCAUGUUAAAAUAAAUUUAGAAAAAAAUAUUGGAUAUAUUAGAAUCCUCUUGGAAAUUUACCUUGCUCAUUAGCAUAUUAAAACUAGUAUAAUAAGUAUGGCUUUGAUAAAGAAUUAUGUUGAUCUUGGUAUAACUCAAUUUCCCACAUCUGACAAGGGUAGCCCUUAUUCAUGGAAAAAAAAUCUUAUGGAGCCCUUUCACAUAACUUAAUUUGGAAGGUGUAUGCAGGAUAUUUUCUAUGGUCCCUUGUAAUUCUAAGAUUUUGCGACUCUGUAGCUGAGUAACGUCCCUGAAGAAACAUAUUGGUAAUGGUUUAGAAAGAGUAUGACUUUUAAAAUUUCAUUUUAGGUGUUCCCACUGUGGCUCAGCAGGUUAAGAACCCGACAUAGUCUCCAAGAGGAUGCAGUUUCAAUCCCUGGCCUUGCUCUGUGGGUUAAGGAUCCAGCAUUGCCAUGAGCUGCAGCCUAGGUCACAGAUGCAGCUCAGGUCCAGUGGUGCCGUGGCUGUGGCAAAGACCUCAGCUGCAGUUCCAAUUCUACUCCUAACCUGGAAACUUCCACAUGCUGUAGGUAUGGCUGUAAAACAGAAAAAAAUAAAUACUUUAUAUUGAAAAAUAAUUUAUUAUUAUACCAAGAGAGGAAAUCACCUUGUAAAUUAAGGCUAGCUUUAUGAGUGAAAUUUUAAGUUUUUGCAUAGAUGACAUGGGUUUACAGAGAAGAGGAACUGUCCAUUAAUGUUUUAAUUUUCCUUCAGUGUGUGAAUUAAAUUGACCUCAAUAGCACUUGCCAAUUGAUUGCACAUUCUCUACUCUUACAGAAGGUAUUUAUUAAAAAUAUGUAGACAUAAAAUCCCCCACAGUAACUUAGUAUAUAUGGACAUAAAACAUAUGUACAUACUACUGCUAGAGGGUUUAAAUUUAUUCAUUGCGAUGGCACUAUUGAGUUUUCCUAAUUUAUACCACAUGUUCCUCCUUUAUUUAGCCUUUAAUUCUGUAAAGAGUGUGGGGAUAUAAAUUACACAGAGGAUGUGAAAUAUAAACCAUUCCAAUCAUGGGUGUGUGGCAUCUUCAAUUUGCUAGAAUAAUUUUCAUCUGUCAGUUUUUCAAAUAAUGGUAGGAAUCUCUCACUGAGCCUACAGAUUCAGUGCGUUUGUGGACAAAAUUUUUAUGUGGUCUCUCGCUGCUUCUUCCAGAAUGAGGAUGCUUCUGGGAGGAAGAUAGGAGUUAUCACUGCCAAGAGAGUCGCAGGUUUCCCACAGAUUCUAUGGCACUUGGAAUUCAGAGCCUGGGUGUGCAGUUAUUUCCUCCUGAUCACAUAGGGCAUCUGAAGGAAGUCAUAACUACUGCAGGCUGUGGGUUGCCUUCCUGUGCAUAAUAAUGGCUGCCCUUCCCCCACAGCCCCAGUAGUCUUGGUAUAAUAGGGAAAAGGGGGAGUGAACAGUUGGAGACUGCUCUCUGUGGCUCCCCAUUCUCAUCUCCUUCAUCUAAUCAGUUAUUCAUCUCCUCCCAUUACACCUCUUAACCAUCUUUCAAAUGUUUCCUUGGGCUUGACUCUUGGCUCUACCAGCUACUAGCUGUGUGACUUUGGUCAGUUUUCUUAACUUCCUCCAUUGUGUUUCCUCAUCUACAAAACUCUCGUGUUGAAGAUGUAGACUGUAGGGGGAGAGCAGUGUAGUGGAUGAGAAGAAUUCAGUGAGAUCAUUCAUUGGAAUGCUUAGUGUGGAGUUUGGCAUAUAAAGAAUAUUCAGGAGAUACUUGCCAUCUUUAUUGUUUUUAUAGUUAGUUUAGAUUUUCGCUAUAUUUUGUACUUAUUUGUUGUUGUUUUUGGUCACACCCAUGGCAUGUAGAAGUUCUUGGGCCAGGGAUUGAAGCUGAGCCACAGCAGUGACAAUGCUAAAUCUUUAACUGAUAGGUCACCAGGAAACUCCAUAUAUUGUUUCUUAACUCAUCUCUCUGGCUCAUAAUCUCUUCUUCAUCUUUCCUAUUGCAUCUUCAUUAAACUUCAAGAAUGAUCUUUUAAAAUUGCAAAUCAAGUUGUCUAAGAAGUCUGCUGCUUGAAACUCUGUAAUGGUUCCCAAUUCCUUGUAGGAUGGAGUUCAAAUCCUUUAGCAUGACAGACUAUGUCUUCUGGGACUCCUUGUCCAACACCAAGAUUCAGCUAAUCCACUUGUAGGUGCAUUUUAAAAUACUUUCAUAAUUUUGCACAUACAUUUACCUCUGUCUUGAAUGUGUAAGUCACUUGCUCUAUGUCUUCCCUUCACAUGGCCACAUUCUGUCUUUCAAGACCCAGCUAUUGCAUCACUGAGGAGGAUUCAUUCUCCCUCUGUGCCAUGACUUUACUUCUUUCCAUUGCAACGCCUCCUGGGCUGAAUCACAGUUAUAUGGGUUCAUCUGCUUCCUUCUCUCCUGUGCUCUUGGAGGAAAAGCAAUGAUUAUAAUUCUCCCCUCCGUCCCAGUAUCAGAGAUGAUAGUUGGUAGAUGUUUGUUGAAUGACUGAAUGAAUGAGAGUUUUAUGGAACACUAUGUGCUUUCCCUCCUAAUCUCCAAAACAACAUUAAUGCACCCAAAGCACGUCACAUUUGGCAGACAGUAGAUUCUCAGUAAAUAAAUUUGACUUAACUAAUUUUUAUACACCUACUUAUGGCCUGUAAAGUAGAAGGAAAUUAGAAUCACUUGACCAAAAGUGUAAGAUGUGGUAAUAUUACUGAAUUAAAUACAAAAAGCUUGAAAAUAGGAUAAAGUCACUUUCUGCUAUCAUUUGAGGUCUAUUUUCCUACAUUUUCUCUGAUUUUUUUGAUAUCAUAAUUUAAGGGUCAUAAUUCAUAAUUACUUAAAUAUAUGAAGUGUACUUGCCAUUUUUUGAAAAGGUUAGUGCUAUCAUAGGAUGUGUAAAUCUCCUUUUAUGAAAAAGAUGACAAGCAAAAUUAUGAUCCAAGUCAAGGUCUUAUAAAACAUUGACUUGGAUGUGCUUGCUUUUAAAGUAAUUUUAGUUUAAUCCCUCAUUUGAGAUUCGGUCCUUAUUUAUGUACAAUGAUCAAGCUGAUCGUAUGUUUGAGUCGUUGAUGAAUGGACCAAUGGAAAUAAGGUCAAAUAUAGAAUUUUCUUCCCUUUGGAAUCACUGAAUAUUUUACACUCCACAUUACUGUUUUAUAGACUUUCAAUGACUAGAUAAAUAGGGCCCUAGGUUUUACAUUUAUGAAGAUAUUAAUAAAUGAGCAGAGAUAUGUCCAAAUUGCCUAGAGAAAAAGGCUGUAAAUGGAGACAUAACUAUGGGAAAUAUAGAAACAAAGAAACCUGCCCAACCCUAGUGAGCACUAGUGGCAAAAGAACAAAAUCAGCUUUGAUCAAGUCUCAGAUUUUGGAUUGGUUAGGAUGGAACCAAAACCUAAGCAGGAAAAAAACAACAACAACUGUUUUUCUGGGUAUUUUGCCAUGAUUCUCCCAAAUGUAUGGCAUUUUCCAAAAUUCACCUCUGCAGUUUUUCUAAGACUGCACUUUUCUCUCCACGACACUUUUUUCCAUAUAAUCUUUGGAGGUUCUUUAAACCUGAAACUGUUGAUAAUGGACUAUUCUAUUGUACAACACUCUGUGGAGCCUACUAGAGUCUUCAGUCGGUUCUGGUUAAUGUAACACUGUGUUCCUGAAGCACUGGAUGACAGAAACUGCUCAUGUCAGUAAAGGUUGGCACAGGCCAAGCUAGAAAAUCUUCCGUAGGGUUUUGUGGAAUCCAUCAGUAUGACGUUUGCUACCCGUGGUUACCAUUUACAGAGAGUGGCAGAGAAUGCCUGAGUAACAGAAAAUAGGAAUGGCAACUCAGGUGAAGGAACAAUUGAAUUCAACUAUGGUGUUGGAAAAAGCUUGGGCUUUGGAGCCAAAUAACCCUGGGGCAGACUCCCAGGCCUUGGUCAAAGAUACUAAACACACUGACUUUCCGUUUUCUCUUUCCUUUCUAAAAUAAGGGUAAGAUGCCAAGACAGAUACUUUCAGGGCUUCACCUACAUCUCCUGAGUCCCUGUACAUGUGACUGACGGGUACAGGGGUAUGGAAGGAUGGUUUCCUUGUUCCUGGGGGGCACAUACCUAAACUUAUUCUUUGAGUUCCUCUGUGGGUCAAGCUAAAGCACCCUUCUGAGGGACUUGGCCUGAAAUCAUGCCUGUGGUUGGUUUCUUUCCUAUGCAUGUCCUGUUUUUUCUCCUCCUUUCCUGAUUUCUGAGAGCAAUUCCUUAAUACAUCAUUUGCAUGUAACUCUUCACCUCAACAUCUACUUGUGGGAACCCAACCUAAGCAGAUGUCUACUUUAGAAGUUUUUACUGUGGAUUAGAAACAACAGGUCUAGGUCUUCUGCCAGAAUAUAAAGAGAAACAUAAAUACUAAUGAUUAUUACUCUCUUAUUUAGUCUUAUUGAUUUUUUUCAUUUCUUCUUAUGUUUUCAUUCUGCCUAUCUCUGUGAGUAUUCACCUUUCAGAGAUUCAGUUUCUAAAAUCCUCAGUUGUAUAUACUUUUUAGGCUAGAAAAGUGAUUUCCAUAGCAAAUCCUAUGAGUGACCAUAUGUUCCUAUGCUGAUAAAUCUCUGGUAGUCUUGAAUCCACUGGCUGAUGAGCAUGCAAUUGAGGCAGUGGUAGUUGUUAAAUUAUUGUUUCAAUUCAGUGGCUAUGUUCUAUGGUGGCCACUGGUUAAGAAGAUAGGUUUUCAAGUCAGAUGGGGAGCUGGAUCUGAAUUUAUACACUUUCUGAGUCCCUUAAAAUGUGAGAUAUCUCUCAUGGGGAGCUGGAUCUGAAUUUGUACACUUUCUGAGUCCCUUAAAAUGUGAGAUAUCUCUCAAAGUCCUCAUAUUUUAAUCAAAUGAGAGCUCAGGGCCAUGCUUGAUAUGUGUUAAGUGCUAAACAGUUUUGUCAUUUUUUUCUCCAUUGUUACUACUGCUGUAUUUUACUUCCCUUCUAAUAUCCCCAUAGCAUACUGCAUUCACGUUUUGAUGAGGUUCUUACAGAUAGGCUGCUAUUCCAAUAGGAAAUUCAUUCUCUGUCCAGUGUGUUUAGUGACCUUCUAUAAAAGGAAACAUUUUUUGGUUUGUUUUGUUUUUAGCUAAUAGAUACAUUUUUGAAUCUCUCAGCUCUUAGUUAUUGAGUUACUGCAUUGUAGGAGAGGAAAAAUAAUUUUCCCUCUGCCAUUUGUAAUUCUUGUCUGAGAACCUUGAAAUAAAAGCCAGAUGAGCAAGAGAAAGAAAUUUAUUAACAUGAAUACCUCAGGUACACAUGGGAAAUAUCCAGGUUAAAGUGAGUAACUCAAAACGGUAGCUUAGAACUCCAGCUUAUAUAGCAUCUUUAACAAAGAACAAUCACUCUGUGGGGAAAUGGCAGGACAAAGGAAAGCAGUUUUAGGCUUUCAGGGGUGGAGGUCAAAGCAAGUUAGUAAGGUUUGCUACUUAGAUUCCUCUAAUGCCAUCGCUAGGCUAAUAGAUCUAAAGUUGUCUCCACUGAUUAACUUAUAAUUCUUCCUGAAAGAGGGGAGGAGGGAUACCUUUGUUAAUUUACGUUCUUUUAGGCAAGUGGGGGAAGCAGGGGGCUCUUCAUGUGUCUGAUUCUUCUUAAUUGCUUUCAGCUCAAAAUAACGCUCUCCCAAAUUGGAAAAUUUGGGGGUGGCAUAUUCUGUGAUGCUUCAGUUUUUAGGGUCACAUCAAGAAAAAAGUUCAGCUUGCACUGACAAAUGCAUUACUGUAGUAAUGCCGUUAACCUAGAAUUUUGCGGAAUGCUAUGUAUAACUUCAUUAAAAAAAAGAGAAAGAAAAAAAAAA
ensembl:lncRNA